rnacentral:rRNA from 1 species
CAACCUGGAAACAGAUGCUAAUACCGGAUAACAACAGAUGAUGCCUAUCAACUGUUUAAAAGAUGGUUCUGCUAUCACUCUUGGAUGGACCUGCGGUGCAUUAGCUAGUUGGUAGGGUAACGGCCUACCAAGGCGAUGAUGCAUAGCCGAGUUGAGAGACUGAUCGGCCACAUUGGGACUGAGACACGGCCCAAACUCCUACGGGAGGCAGCAGAC